AGGCAGCAGCAGGGAAUAUUGCACAAUGGGCGAAAGCCUGAUGCAGCGACGCCGCGUGCGGGAUGAAGGCCUUCGGGUUGUAAACCGCUUUCAGGAGGGAAGAAAAUGACGGUACCUCCAGAAGAAGGCCCGGCCAACUACGUGCCAGCAGCCGCGGUAAUACGUAGGGGCCAAGCGUUGUCCGGAUUUAUUGGGCGUAAAGGGCUCGUAGGCGGUUUAGUAAGUCAAUCGUGAAAUGUCGGGGCUCAACCCCGAGACUGCGGUCGAAACUGCUAUGACUAGGGUCCGGUAGAGGUGAGUGGAAUUCUCGGUGUAGCGGUGAAAUGCGCAGAUAUCGAGAGGAACACCAGUAGCGAAGGCGGCUCACUGGGCCGGUACCGACGCUGAGGAGCGAAAGCGUGGGGAGCAAACAGGAUUAGAUACCCUGGUAGUCCACGCCGUAAACGUUGAACACUAGGUGUGGCGGACUUAUCCACGUCUGCCGUGCCGACGCUAACGCAUUAAGUGUUCCGCCUGGGGAGUACGGCCGCAAGGCUAAAACUCAAAGGAAUUGACGG
rnacentral:rRNA from 1 species